rnacentral:lncRNA from 1 species
UACAGUUUAGACUAGACUUCUAAUACAGUUAGACUUCUAACAUGUAUAUAUAUCUAUAGGGAUCAUUGUAGUACUGUAAUAAUAAUAUCUCAAUAAUAUUUUUGUCCCGUGCAUUCUCACAGAGAAAAUAUUCAAAGAGAGAGAUAGUGAUCAUGGCGUAAUCAGCCUCAUUUCAAUAUUUAACAUUCCUCAAACUCAAGAACUGGUAAAAGACUUACAUCCUCAUUGUCAAACU